CUGAAUGCUCACUUCUAAGGCAUUCUCUGGCUUUCACCUUGUUCUCACGGAGCCAAGAAGGGAGAUGAGUAAGAGUAACUGGACAAGCUCUUAUCAGAAUUAGAAAGUUCAGUUCUGUCUUUGGAAUGAUUUCAUGUCUAUACACUUUCUUCCACUAGACACCAAGCAAUGCUCCAUGAGCACCAAACCUUGAUCUUAGAUGGCCAUCAGCAUAUCUCUGUGAAGGUGUUAUCCCAACAUGGUUUUGCAACCAUUGCCCUUCCCAACAAGAAGUCCUUUCUUUAGACCCACAAACUGGAGCACACACAGUGUAUUAUGUCAGUUCAGUGUCCCCGGAACUGUGUCCCACACAGCGUAUUAAAUCUGAAGCACAAUAGG
rnacentral:lncRNA from 1 species